UCUCAUUAUUUAAUAGUAAAAAACAAUCUGUCUUAAGGAAACUGUGUUUAUUUAUUAAGUGUAUUAAUAAAAAAAGUUUGACCCUCCAUGUAAAUGUAAUCUCAUAAGCAUCUUACCGAUCAUUUUUCCAUCUUAUAUCAUUAAUUCUACAUGUUACUAAACAUGUAUGUCAUCAUAAUUACGGUAUUUGUUUACCUUAACUAUUGUGUCUGUAUUUAUAUUGUAUGUUUCUCUGUAAACUUGUAUCUAGUUUUUAGAGAAUAAAGUAUCUAUCUAUCUAUA
rnacentral:lncRNA from 1 species